rnacentral:rRNA from 1 species
CGCGAAUGGCUCAUUACAACAGCUAUAAUUCACUUGAUCUUGACACAAUCCUACUUGGAUAACUGUGGUAAUUCUAGAGCUAAUACAUGCAUUAAAGCUCUGACCUCACGGAAAGAGUGCAUUUAUUAGAACAAAACCAAGCGGCUUCGGCUGUUUCUGGUUGACUCAUAGUAACUGAGCUGAUCGCAUGGUCUUGCACCGGCGACGUGUCUUUCAAGUAUCUGCCGUAUCAACUUUCGAUGGUAGUGUAUCUGACUACCAUGGUGAUCACGCGUAACGGAGAAUAAGGGUUCGGCUCCGGAGAGUUCGCCUGAGAAAUCGCGAACACAUCUAAGGAAGGCAGCAGGCGCGAAAAUUACCCACUCUCAGCACGAGGAGGUAGUGACGAAAAAUAACGAGACCGUUCUCUUAUGAGGCCGGUCAUCGGAAUGGGUACAAUUUAAACCCUUUAACGAGUAUCUAUGAGAGGGCAAGUCUGGUGCCAGCAGCCGCGGUAAUUCCAGCU